rnacentral:lncRNA from 1 species
UCAUAGCUAGAUUCAGAAUCAUGGUGACUUGCUUGAUAUCUUGUUGAAUUCAAAGAUAAUGGUGAUGCAUCUGAUACUUCUGAGGAACAUUGAUGUCGAGGGACUGCUGCAUCAUCAGACAUGGUAAUAGAGGGAUAUGCAACUCUGUCUGACCACCCACAGCCACAGGAUGAAGAAACCACUGAAUUCACAUCAUCAUACUGGCUUCCUUCCUGCCCCAAAAGAAGAACAAGAAAGUGAGCAAAUUAAUCUUUUGAAAUUCCCUUUUUCACCAUUUAUUCUAUGCAAUCUCCAGUCCAAUUUGGCAUCGUCUCUAAUUUAUUGAUGCUUAGCAAAUAAAGAAGAUAAUACCUAGCCCUAAUUUAGUGAACACUGUUUUCUGUCAUCAAAAUCAAGGCUUUUAACCAAAGACUCUAAACCUCAAAUUUUACACCUUUUUAGUACGAUGUUUCCAACUAGCUGGCAAAAAAAAAUAUCAAGGAGUAAGCAGGUGACCUUAACAUAAUUUGGUGAUGAAUCUGAUAAUGCAACUAGACUUGGUUGGCGCCGGCUUGAAGUCUCCCUGGAUUCAUCAACCGGGAGCCAUUCGAAUUGGGACCUUGACGAUUUUGAAGAUUGCCUCAAGUAAGAUCCUCUUGCCAACCUGAUUGACCUCUUCCUCCAGAGUUUCCUCUUGGGCUCUGUUCCUCCUCUGUUUCUGCUGUCAAGAUUCUGAGAAAAGGUUGGUUCAGCAGCCAUCAACCCCUCCCUAAUUGAAGAAAAAAAAAGCUAAUGUAAAUCAACUUGGUUCUGCAACUAUGUUUUUGUAUAUUGAUAUGGUUUGGAUAUAUUUUUCAAGAAUGAAGAUGCAGGGAAGGUAUGAAUCGGUCAUGAAAUGGAGGCUGCACUUGUUUAGUACUGAACAGAAAUGGCUCUUGAAUUUGGAAUAAACAAUGGCUGGCAGCUGUAGUUGUCUGGAAGGCUAGAAUGGUACUAGCAGUUUUUGCAAUGAAAUUUGCAUUGAUUAGAGGGGGGGAAAAAGUCAGAUUCUAGCAGAUUGGAUGCUGGCUUCUUAAUUGAUUGGCUUGUUUUCUUGUAACUUGUAUUGAAAUUUCACCU